GUGUCAAAAUCAAAAUGGCCGCUGCUUUGUUAGAGUGAAAAUGUGUGUCGUGACUUUAUACACUUAUUGUUGCAAUAAUAAUUGUUAAACAAUUAUAAAUUGUUAUUAAAUCGGUUAAUUAAAUUUUUCUGAACAAAAUGUGAUAUAAAUUAUCAUGAGCUUUUGUGAAUUUUGACAAAAAUUAAUGGACAUGUCAAUGGCGUCUGAGCUGACAAAGGACAAUCUCAAUUUGUUAAAUAAUGGACAAAUGAUAUGUGUGAUUUUUGUCAAAAAUCAAUGUACCUGUCAAUGGCGUUGGAGCUGACAAAGGCGAAUCUUAAAUCGUUGAUCAACGAACAAAUGAUACAAAAAAAGUGGGGCCUAAACGUGUAUUGUUUCAAUGUAAUUCAUUAAACACAAUCAUUGAAGCUGAGACAAAAAAAAAAAAAAAACAAUGACUAAAUUGGUUUGUCUCUUCAAAAAUUGAAAUAUAGUCUCAUACUUACCCAAUAUUAAUUUAUUAAUUUAUUAUUACAGUUGCUAGUGUAUUUGUACAAAAGCUUUAAUGAUGUAGAUAAUGAAAAAAGAACGUAAAAAGAGAGUUACUUCAUUACUUAAAAUAUCUAUGACAACUGAGGCUGUUUUUAUGCUAAAAUAUGACAUGAAAAAUACCAAGUGAAUGAUGUUAAUGUUAAAAGUACAUCGACUUUAGUUUGUGUUACCAAGUGCUACAAAAAUUGAGUGAAUUGUUUAUAAACUGUUUGAUAAUUCACAAUCAUGAAAUACUGGUACACUUGAACCCCCAAUAAAAUGCAUCAAGACCACCCACAUCAUAUUAUGCUUCAACAAUGAUAAAUCUCUGAUAAUAAAAAAUUAAUCCUUAAUUAUUAUGAAUUUCAACUUCAAUUGGAUUUACAAAUAAUUAAGUUGAUUUGGUUCUCAAUACUUUUUGAAUUAUUUAAUAUGAUUUUAUGUAAAAAUUAUGCUUGUUAUCUGUACAAAAAUUGUAGACAUUGAUGACAUGGUACUGGUGUUAUUAAUUUUUAAGCUCUUUCCAAUGUACCACCACUUAUUGUUGUUAUUGGUGAACAUUAACUUGUUUUUGUUGAGUUGAGCUUUAUCAGUGUGUAUGCAUGUGUAUGUUUGACAUUUUCUUUGAUGUAAGCCGCCGAUGUUGCGCACAGUAGAACCGCCUGUUGCUCUUCAGAGUUUAAAGAAAGUUGUGCCUCUACUAGAAAGAAUGCUAAAAAUUUUAUGAACAGCUGG